rnacentral:rRNA from 1 species
AUUGAACGCUGGCGGAAUGCUUUACACAUGCAAGUCGAGCGGCAGCGCGGGGGGCAACCCUGGCGGCGAGCGGCGAACGGGUGAGUAACAUAUCGGAACGUACCCCGUCGUGGGGGAUAACACAGCGAAAGCUGUGCUAAUACCGCAUACGACCUGAGGGUGAAAGCGGGGGAUCGCAAGACCUCGCGCGAUGGGAGCGGCCGAUAUCGGAUUAGCUUGUUGGUGAGGUAAAGGCUCACCAAGGCGACGAUCCGUAGCUGGUCUGAGAGGACGACCAGCCACACUGGAACUGAGACACGGUCCAGACUCCUACGGGAGGCAGCAGUGGGGAAUUUUGGGACAAUGGGGCAACCCUGAUCCAGCCAUUCCGCGUGAGUGAAGAAGGCCUUCGGUGUAAGGU